rfam:Spinacia oleracea cultivar SynViroflay scaffold21098.con0003.1, whole genome shotgun sequence.
AGCCUAUUAGCUCAAAUGGUAGAGCAAUGUGCCACGCACAUAUAUGUAGGUUCGAGUCCUACAUACGCUG